rnacentral:rRNA from 1 species
UUGCUCCCGAGCAUCAGUAACAGAGGGUUCGAUUAUGGCUCAGAUUGAACGCUGGCGGGUGCUUUAUUACUGAUGCAAGUCGAACGGCAGCACGGACUUCGGUCUGGUGGCGAGUGGCGAACGGGUGAGUAAUGUAUCGGAACGUGCCUAGUAGCGGGGGAUAACGGCGCGUGAAUGCAGCUAAUACCGCAUACGCCCUUCGGGGGAAAGCGGGGGGACCUUUCGGGCCUCGCACUAUUAGGAGCGGCUGAUAUCGGAUUAGCUAGUUGGUGGGGUAACGGCUCACCAAGGCGACGAUCCGUAGCUGGUUUGAGAGGACGACCAGCCACACUGGGACUGGAGACAUCGGCCCAGACUCUACGGGAGGCAGCAGUGGGGAAUUUUGGACAAUGGGGGAAACCUGAUCCAGCCAUCCCGCGUGUGCGAUGAAGGCCUUCGGGUUGUAAAGCACUUUGGCAGGAAGAAACGGCACGGGAUAAUACCCCGUGCAACUGAUUUGGUACCUGCAGAAUAAGCACCGGCUAACUACGCCAGCAGCCGCGGUAAUACGUAGGUGCAAGCGUUAAUCGGAAUUACUGGGCGUAAAGCGUGCGCAGGCGGUUCGGAAAGAAAGAUGUGAAAUCCCAGAGCUUAACUUUGGAACUGCAUUUUUAACUACCGAGCUAGAGUGUGUCAGAGGGGAGGUGGAAUUCGCGUGUAGCAGUGAAAUGCGUAGAUAUGCGGAGGAACACCGAUGGCGAAGGCAGCCUCUGGGAUAACACUGACGCUCAUGCACGAAAGCGUGGGAGCAAACAGGGAUUAGAUACCCUGUGUCCACGCCCUAAACGAUGUCAACUAGCUGUUGGGGCCUUCGGGCCUUGGUAGCGCAGCUAACGCGUGAAGUUGACCGCCUGGGGAGCAUGGUCGCAAGAUUAAAACCCAAAGAAUUGACGGGGACCCGCACAAGCGGUGGAUGAUGUGAUUAAUCUGAUGCAACGCGAAAAACCUUACCUACCCUUGACAUGUCUGGAAUCCCGAAGAGAUUUGGGAGUGCUCGCGCAAGAGAACCGGAACACAGGUGCUGCAUGGCUGUCGUCAGCUCGUGUCGUGAGAUGUUGGGUUAAGUCCUGCAACGAGCGCAACCCUUGUCAUUAGUUGCUACGAAAGGGCACUCUAUCGAGACUGCCGGUGACAAACCGAGGAAGGUGGGGGAUGACGUCAAGUCCUCAUGGCCCUUAUGGGUAGGGGGCUUGCACGUCAUACAAUGGUCGGGACAGAGGGUCGCCAACCCGCGAGGGGGAGCCAAUCCCAGAAACCCGAUCGUAGUCCGGAUCGCAGUCUGCAACUCGACUGCGUGAAGUCGGAACGCUGGCAAUCGCGGAUCAGCAUGUCGCGGUGAAUACGUUCCCGGGUCUUGUACACACUGGCCCGUCACACCAUGGGAGUGGGUUUUACCAGAAGUAGUUAGCCCAACCGUAAGGAGGGCGAUUACCACGGUAGGAUUCAUGACUGGGGUGAAGCGUCGUAUCAGU